rnacentral:lncRNA from 1 species
UAGUUCAGCAAAUUAUGGUCAGAGAGAGGUGGAAGAAGAAUUCAGUUAAUAUGAAGAGUGAGUUUCCACAGAUCAAAAGAAACAAUUUAAUGCGAACUCGAAUGAGUUCCGAAUUGGCAUUAGCAGAUAGAAACACCGGUAUGAAUGAUCGAGCUUUUGUUACACUAUGUUGGGAUUCGCAUGUAAGUUAGAUUACACUAACAUCGUCACACAUCUACUACAUUACAACAACUACCCAGUAUAAUCUCACAAAGUGGGGUCUGGAGAGGGUAAUAUGUAGACAUGCCUUACCCCUGCCCGAAAGAGGGCAGAAAAGCUGUUUCCAAUCGACCCUCGGCUCAAGAGAGAAAGAAUGAUAAAACUAAAUUACACAGGUAGCGACGAGUAGAGAAUACUAAAUUAACGAAAAACGUUACGUUGUGCAUUACAAGCAUGCUUGCAACGAUUAAGAGGUAAGAAUCUAUUCACAGGCCAACUUUGUGCCAAAGCUGGUCAGGCAAAUUGCAAACGCUUGGAAGGCAGACAGAGGCUUCCGGUAGUCCAUUGUAAAAACAUCAUCUCCUACCUUCCCAAACUGAAGGAUUACUGUAUCCUCAUCGCCUUUUCCACCAGGCUGGCUCUGGUCCAGUGUUGGUAGUCCAUUGUAAAAACAUCAUCUCCUGCCUUCCCAAACUGAAGGAUUACUGUAUCCUCAUCGCCUUUUCCACCAGGCUGGCUCUGGUCCAGUGUUGCAACUAGCUGAAAAUUCUUAACAGAUGCAACGGUGACUCUGCCGUGGAAAUUUAAACACCAACAUUGCAAGUGCUC